rnacentral:rRNA from 1 species
AUUGAACGCUGGCGGCAGGCCUAACACAUGCAAGUCGAGCGAGCGGCGGACGGGUGAGGAAUGUAAGGGGACUGCCCGUUAGCGCGGGAUUACUACUAGAAACGGUGACGAAGACUACAUCCUGUUGGAUGAGGGAUGUGGGAGUAGCGUGUCGGUGAGGUACUGGCGUACUUGCGCGACGAUGCCGAGACGGGCUGGCGGGCUGAGCGGCCACACUGGCACAGAGGAACUGCGCAGACGCCUACGGAGGCAGGGGUGGGGAAGAUUGCAAAAUUGGAGAAAGCCUGAAACCGCGAUGCCGCGUGUCUGAGUGAGGGACUAGGGUUUUAAAGUACUUUACGUCGGGAGGCGUUACCGACAGAAGAAGCGCCGGCUAACUCCGUGCCAGCCGCCGCGGUAAUAC